GAUGAACGCUGACAGAAUGCUUAACACAUGCAAGUCUUUGGCGAAGCUGUGCUUGCACAGCCUAGCCAAGGCGGACGGGUGAGUAACGCGUAAGGAACUUGCCCUGCAGUCAGGGAUAACAGACGGAAACGACUGAUAAGACCUGGUAAAGUCAGGCGGGCUCAUGUCCAGCCUGAUGAAAAGAGAUGCUGCAGGAGAGCCUUGCGUCCUAUUAGCUUGUUGGUGGGGUAACGGCCCACCAAGGCGAUGAUAGGUAGCCGGCCUGAGAGGGUGGACGGCCACAAGGGGACUGAGAUACGGCCCUUACUCCUACGGGAGGCAGCAGUGGGGAAUAUUGGACAAUGGGGGCAACCCUGAUCCAGCAAUUCUGUGUGCACGAUGAAGGUUUUCGGAUUGUAAAGUGCUUUCAGCAGGGAAGAAAAAAAUGACGGUACCUGCAGAAGAAGCGACGGCUAAAUACGUGCCAGCAGCCGCGGUAAUACGUAUGUCGCAAGCGUUAUCCGGAAUUAUUGGGCAUAAAGGGCAUCUAGGCGGCCAGAUAAGUCUGGGGUGAAAACUUGCGGCUCAACCGCAAGCCUGCCCUGGAAACUAUGUGGCUAGAGUACUGGAGAGGUGGACGGAACUGCACGAGUAGAGGUGAAAUUCGUAGAUAUGUGCAGGAAUGCCGAUGAUGAAGAUAGUUCACUGGACGGUAACUGACGCUGAAGUGCGAAAGCUAGGGGAGCAAACAGG
rnacentral:rRNA from 1 species